rnacentral:rRNA from 1 species
GACGAACGCUGGCGGCGUGCUUAACACAUGCAAGUCGAACGGAAAGGCCCCGUUGGGGGUACUCGAGUGGCGAACGGGUGCGUAACACGUGAGUAACCUGCCCUUGACUUCGGGAUAACUUCAGGAAACUGGGGCUAAUACCGGAUAGGAAUCCGUGCUGCAUGGUGGGGGUUGGAAAGCUUCGGCCGUUUUGGAGGGACUCGCGGCUUAUCAGCUUGUUGGUGGGGUAGUGGCUUACCAAGGCUUUGACGGGUAGCCGGCCUGAGAGGGCGACCGGCCACAUUGGGACUGAGAUACGGCCCAGACUCCUACGGGGGGCAGCAGUGGGGAAUCUUGCACAAUGGGCGGAAGCCUGAUGCAGCCACGCCGCGUGCGGGAUGACGGCCUUCGGGUUGUAAACCGCUUUCAGCAGGGGCGAAGCUUGUGGUGACGGUACCUGCAGAAGAAGCACCGGCUAACUACGUG